GAUGAACGCUAGCUACAGGCUUAACACAUGCAAGUCGAGGGGCAGCAUGGUCUUAGCUUGCUAAGGCCGAUGGCGACCGGCGCACGGGUGAGUAACGCGUAUCCAACCUGCCUUACACUCUUGGGCAGCCUCCUGAAAGGGAGAUUAAUACAAGAUGUUAUCAUGAGUAAGCAUUUUCGCAUGAUUUUGAUAUUAAAGAAUUUCGGUUAUCGAUGGGGAUGCGUUCCAUUAGUUUGUUGGCGGGGUAACGGCCCACCAAGACUACGAUGGAUAGGGGUUCUGAGAGGAAGGUCCCCCACAUUGGAACUGAGACACGGUCCAAAACUCCUACGGGAGGCAGCAGUGAGGAAUAUUGGUCAAUGGACGAGAGUCUGAACCAGCCAAGUAGCGUGAAGGAUGACUGCCCUAUGGGUUGUAAACUUCUUUUAUAUGGGAAUAAAGUAUUCACGUGUGGGAUUUUGUAUGUACCAUAUGAACUAAGGAUCGGCUAACU
rnacentral:rRNA from 1 species